UCUGUAGCAAGGUUAACCGUAUAGGGGAGCCGUAGGGAAACCGAGUCUUAACCGGGCGUUAAGUUGCAGGGUAUAGACCCGAAACCCGGUGAUCUAGCCAUGGGCAGGUUGAAGGUUGGGUAACACUAACUGGAGGACCGAACCGACUAAUGUUGAAAAAUUAGCGGAUGACCUGUGGCUGGGGGUGAAAGGCCAAUCAAACCGGGAGAUAGCUGGUUCUCCCCGAAAGCUAUUUAGGUAGCGCCUCGUGAAUUCAUCUCCGGGGGUAGAGCACUGUUUCGGCUAGGGGGCCAUCCCGGCUUACCAACCCGAUGCAAACUGCGAAUACCGGAGAAUGUUAUCACGGGAGACACACGGCGGGUGCUAACGUCCGUCGUGAAGAGGGAAACAACCCAGACCGCCAGCUAAGGUCCCAAAGUCAUGGUUAAGUGGGAAACGAUGUGGGAAGGCCCAGACAGCCAGGAUGUUGGCUUAGAAGCAGCCAUCAUUUAAAGAAAGCGUAAUAGCUCACUGGUCGAGUCGGCCUGCGCGGAAGAUGUAACGGGGCUAAACCAUGCACCGAAGCUGCGGCAGCGAACGUAUCACCCAAGACAACUUUACGGAGUUGACGAUUGACGGAGCGAAGCGACGUCAAAGCGUUCAUUAAAGUCGAGUUGGCUUAGGGAUACGUUCGUUGGGUAGGGGAGCGUUCUGUAAGCCUGUGAAGGUGUGUCGUGAGGCAUGCUGGAGGUAUCAGAAGUGCGAAUGCUGACAUAAGUAACGAUAAAGCGGGUGAAAAGCCCGCUCGCCGGAAGACCAAGGGUUCCUGUCCAACGUUAAUCGGGGCAGGGUGAGUCGACCCCUAAGGCGAGGCCGAAAGGCGUAGUCGAUGGGAAACGGGUUAAUAUUCCCGUACUUGGUGUUAC
rnacentral:rRNA from 1 species